UGGGAGUUAGAGAAACAAGAAUGAAGAGGGUUAUGGGUUGAACUGCAUCCCCUGAAAAGAUGUGUCAAAGCCUUAAUCCCCAGCACUUGUGGACGCACCCUUAUUUGGAAAUAGGGUCUCUGCAGAUGUAAUCAAGUUUCAGAUGAGGUCAUUAGGGUGGCCCCAAUCCAAUACAACUGCUGUCCUUCCCAGAGGAGGAGGGAUCCUGGGACAGACACAGGAGAGGAGAACACCAUGUAACAGAUGGAGGCAGAACUCGAAGGGCUGCAGCUGUGAGCUUAGAGAGCCAAGGACUGCUGGCAACCCAUCCAAAUCCAGCAAGAGGCAAGGAAAGAUGCUCCCCUCCAGGUUUCAGAAGGAGCCUGACCGUGCCAAUACCUUGAUUUCAGACUUCAGCCUCCAAAAUGGAUUUAGUCAAGCAUCAGCCUGGGUUCAGACUGCAGGAUGAGAAAGCCUGACAUCCUUGAAAUUAAAGAAACCUUCAAGAAUCAAGACCCAACCUUCUGCCCCAACUCUAAUUCCUGUACUUCACCCAUCGUAGCUCCUCCACUCUCUUGCUCCCUCUUGUCUCUGAGCUUUCUCUGUACUGUGAAACCUAGGAUGCAACACUGCCACCCCCUUUCUGCAACCAAUUCCAUUCUUUAAACCUAGUUCAAAUCCUAGCUGAGAACUGAGAGUCUGAG
ensembl:lncRNA